GUUCUCCAGUGAUGCAUCAACACUACUGCAUCCAAAUGCUUCAAUCAGGAAGAAGGGAUCAAGGUGGUUAUAGUAAGGCUCAUCGUCGAAGUUAAAAGUCGCGUUAUUUGCAGGCCAUUCUUGUUCAAAUGGGUAUUCCAGUAGUUCUUCACCUCAUUAUCAGUUCGACCAGGAAGCCGACCAGCAAUCAAUGACCAUCUGAUGGAAGAAGUAACACCGUUGAAAUAUCCAAACAUUCAGUCAGUUUACUCUUUUUACUAUAAGUAUUGAUUAAGCUUUGGAGAUUAAUUCGAUACAAACCGACCUGUUGCCUAAAAGUUUAUGCAUACGGAUAAUUAGGUCCUCUUCCUCUUUGGACAUGCCCCCACGCUUUAUAUUGGGACGGAGGUUGGUGACAAUACACUUACAGGUUGUAAUGAUAACUCAUAUGAUUAGAUUUCUAUAUAUAUGACAGCAAAAUAGGCACCCAGCACUGUCACAUAUUACUCGCAGGAUGUUGCAUUGUUGGGUCAUGCAUGCAUCAUCAUUACGUUAUUUGAGCUGGUGGAUUGACGUGAGGGCCCUGGUUUGCUAAAAGCAUAUCUGCCUGCUUCUCAAUCAAGACAGGAAGGUACUACCUACUAUCUGGAGGAAGCUUUAAGUAUUUAACAAGCUUUCGUAAGGAGCCACUCAAAGAAAAACAAUGCAGCUUUUGCUAGAGAAGCAACCAGCCAAUUGGGUCAUCUUUUUGAGGCGCUCGUAAAGAUUCCAUAUCCAUUUAGCUACUGUUCUUCCCUAAUCACUAUGAUUUUUUCCCUUUUGCACCUGCCUGCCUGCUUCUCCAUCAUAAACUUCAUCCUCAACCCUUAUUUUAAGCUGAAGGGCAUAUUUGCACGACUAUAAAACAGCUAUAAAAAGUUAUGUCUAUCAAUCAAGUUGGUGGUUCUUGAUUAGUUCUUGGACUUUCAGGUCGUUUUACUCUCUUUCAAACAGUACAAGACUCGAGUUAAACCGACCUUCCCUCUCAUUUCAGGACAAGGCAAGGAGUUCAUUAUCCAAUAUCUCGACCCCUCAAACAAAAAGAGAAAAAAAAAAAAAAAGGGAAAAGUAGAGAAGAAUAGAAAGAAAGAAAGAAUCUUGUACGUGUGAAUGAUAUAAUCCAAGAUGGACUUUUCAAAGUGUCCUUUUCCAUC